AAUGGCUGCAGUAAUAUAACUGUACAAAGGUAGCAUAAUCAUUAGUUUUUUAAUUAAAAGCUUGUAUGAAAGGUUGGACGAAGUAAAAUCUGUCUCUUUUUAAUAUAAUUAGAAUUUAAUUUUUAAGUAAAAAAGCUUAAAUUUAUAUAAAAGACGAGAAGACCCUAUAGAGUUUAAUAAUUUAUUUUAAAUAAUUAAUUUAGAUUUAUUUAUUUUAUUUAUUAUAAAAUUAUUUUAUUGGGGUAAUAAAAAGAUUAAUAUAAUUCUUUUUUUUAUUUAACAUUAAUAUAUGAAUUAAAUGAUCCAUUUUUAUGAUUAAAAGAUUAAAUUACCUUAGGGAUAACAGCGUAAUUUUUUUAAAGAGUUCAUAUCGAUAAAAAAGUUUGCGACCUCGAUGUUGGAUUAAAGAUUAAUUUAGGUGUAGAAGUUUAAAUUUUUGGUCUGUUCGACCAUUAAAUCUUUACAUGAUCUGAGUUCAAACCGGUGUAAGCCAGGUUGGUUUCUAUCUUUAUAAAAUUUUUAUAUUUUAGUACGAAAGGACCAGAUAUUUAAUAUAUAAAUAUUUAAUUAUUUUGAAUAU
rnacentral:rRNA from 2 species